CUCAGAUUGAACGCUGGCGGCAUGCCUUACACAUGCAAGUCGAACGGCAGCACGGGCUUCGGCCUGGUGGCGAGUGGCGAACGGGUGAGUAAUACAUCGGAACGUGCCCUGUUGUGGGGGAUAACCAGUCGAAAGAUUGGCUAAUACCGCAUACGACCUGAGGGUGAAAGCGGGGGACCGCAAGGCCUCGCGCAGCAGGAGCGGCCGAUGUCUGAUUAGCUAGUUGGUGGGGUAAAGGCCCACCAAGGCGACGAUCAGUAGCUGGUCUGAGAGGACGAUCAGCCACACUGGGACUGAGACACGGCCCAGACUCCUACGGGAGGCAGCAGUGGGGAAUUUUGGACAAUGGGGGCAACCCUGAUCCAGCAAUGCCGCGUGUGUGAAGAAGGCCUUCGGGUUGUAAAGCACUUUUGUCCGGAAAGAAAACCUNUGCCCUAAUACGGCGGGGGGAUGACGUACCGGAAG
rnacentral:rRNA from 1 species